UGAGAUUCCAUUUAUCUGAUGGGUGAUGG
rnacentral:piRNA from 1 species